UACGAAGGGGGCUAGCGUUGCUCGGAAUUACUGGGCGUAAAGGGCGCGUAGGCGGCACUGUUAGUCAGGCGUGAAAGUCCUGGGCUCAACCUGGGAACUGCGCUUGAUACGGCAGAGCUAGAGGAUGGAAGAGGGUCGCGGAAUUCCCAGUGUAGAGGUGAAAUUCGUAGAUAUUGGGAAGAACACCGGUGGCGAAGGCGGCGACCUGGUCCAUUACUGACGCUGAUGCUCGAAAGCUAGGGGAGCAAACAGG
rnacentral:rRNA from 1 species